rnacentral:tRNA from 1 species
GGGGUUGUAGCUCAGUGAGAGAGCGAUUGUUUAUCAUGUAUGAGAUCCUGGGUUCGAUCCCCAGCACCA